UACCUGGCUAUUGUGUUUGAUUAUAUCCGUCACAAUAAUAUUCCCAUUUCCCCAAUAAUUAAAUUAAAUCGGGUUGCACCUUUGUUUAUGUAAUAUGUAUUAUAUUGCAUGCAUGUUAAAUACUUAAAUCGUCUCUUAAUAAAAUGUUAGAUAUUUAUAUAUAUUGCUAGCUAUCCUAGCCAGUGAGUAUUUCAGUAUUCAUGCGUAUUUCCUAAGUUUUUUAUAUCAGUAUAUAAUUGUUUGGGUGUUGUGGCAUGUUUAAAAUUGUGUUGAACUUGUAUUCAGUUGGCAAA